CCCCUAGUUCUAACCAUAAACGAUGCCAACCAGCGAUCCGCCUGAGUUACUCAAAUGACUCGGCGGGCAGCUUCCGGGAAACCAAAGUAUUUGGGUUCCGGGGGAAGUAUGGUUGCAAAGCUGAAACUUAAAGGAAUUGACGGAAGGGCACCACCAGGAGUGGAGCCUGCGGCUUAAUUUGACUCAACACGGGAAAACUUACCCGGCCCGGACACUGGGAGGAUUGACAGAUUGAGAGCUCUUUCUUGAUUCGGUGGAUGGUGGUGCAUGGCCGUUCUUAGUUGGUGGAGCGAUUUGUCUGGUUAAUUCCGAUAACGAACGAGACUCUAGCCUAUUAAAUAGGUGCGGGGUUCCCAGCACCUUACAACCUUCUUAGAGGGACAAGCGGCUCCUAGCCGCACGAAACAGAGCAAUAACAGGUCUGUGAUGCCCUUAGAUGUCCGGGGCCGCACGCGCGCUACACUGAAGGAGGCAGCGUGUUUUUUUCCCUGUCUGAAAAGACUGGGUAACCCGUGGAACUUCCUUCGUGAUUGGGAUAGGGGCUUGCAAUUGUUCCCCUUGAACGAGGAAUUCCCAGUAAGCGCGAGUCAUAAGCUCGCGUUGAUUACGUCCCUGCCCUUUGUACACACCGCCCGUCGCUACUACCGAUUGAAUGAUUUAGUGAGGUCUUCGGACCGAUGUCCGGCGCGGCCUUUCGGUUGCGCCGGUCUGUUGGAAAGAUGACCAAACUUGAUCAUUUAGAGGAAGUAAAAGUCGUAACAAGGUUUCCGUAGGU
rnacentral:rRNA from 1 species